GAAAGUAAGAAAGGGCGUAUGGCGGAUGCCUAGGCUCACGGAGGCGAUGAAGGACGUGAUAAGCUGCGAUAAGCUUCGGGUAGGUGCAAAUAACCCUUGAUCCGGAGAUUUCCGAAUGGGACAACCUAGCCGUCUGAAGGACGGUUACUAGCACUUAAGUGUUAGAGCUAACGCAGGGAACUGAAACAUCUUAGUACCUGCAGGAAGAGAAAAUAAAUGAAUGAUUCCCCCAGUAGUGGCGAGCGAACGGGGAACAGCCCAAACCGUUGACGUCGCAAGGCGCCAGCGGGGUUGUAGGACCGCGACAUUGUAUGCAAAUCGUGAACAGAACACUUUGGAAAAUGUGACCAUAGACGGUGAUAGUCCAGUAUGUGAAGCGAAAUGCAGCAUAGCGGUAUCCUGAGUAACGCGGGACACGAGGAAUCCUGCGCGAAUCUGCCGGGACCAUCCGGUAAGGCUAAAUACUCCCGUGAGACCGAUAGCGAACGAGUACUGUGAAGGAAAGGUGAAAAGAACCCCGAGCAGGGGAGUGAAAUAGUUCCUGAAACCAUACGCCUACAAGCGGUCGGAGCAUCUUACGAUGUGACGGCGUGCCUUUUGCAUAAUGAUCCUACGAGUUACCGUCACUGGCGAGGUUGAGUGUCAUGAGACACGUAGCCGCAGUGAAAGCGAGCCUGAAUAGGGCGCAUAGUCAGUGGGGGUAGACGCGAAACCAAGUGAUCUACACUUGGCCAGGAUGAAGUCCCGGUAACACGGGAUGGAGGUCCGCACCAAUAAGCGUUGAAAAGCUUCUGGAUGAGCCGAGUGUAGGAGUGAAAGGCCAAUCAAACUUGGAGAUAGCUCGUACUCCCCGAAAGGCAUUUAGGUGCCGCGUCGGAUGGUCACCGUGAGAGGUAGAGCGACCGAUAGGACAAGAGGGCUUCACCGCCUAUCGAGUCCUGACGAACUCCGAAUGCUCACGGUCUGCAGUCCGGCAGUAAGGGGGCGGGUGCUAAGGUCCGUCCCCGAGAGGAGAAGAAUCCAGACCGCCGUCUAAGGUCCCGGAGUUCUGCCUGAGUUAGUCUAACGAAGUCUGGUCCCUAUGACAGCUAGGAUGUUGGCUUGGAAGCAGCCAUUCAUUCAAAGAGUGCGUAACAGCUCACUAGUCGAGGGUCCGGGCAUGGAUAAUAAUCGGGUAUAAGGCAGACACCGAAGGCGCGGGAUAGCAUUUAAGAAAGUAUCGGUAGGGGAGCAUACUCACAGCGUGGAAUGGUGUACGUAAGUUAUCCUGGAGCGGUGAGUAAAGCAAAUGUAGGAAUAAGUAACGAUAAGGAGGGUUAGAUUCCCUCCCGCUGUAAGACCAAGGUUUCCCGGGCAAUGCCAAUCAGCCCGGGGUCAGUCGGGUCCUAAGUCUAAGCCGAACGGCGAUGGCGAUGGCAGAGACGGUUAAUAUUCCGUCACUGCCGCAUGGGGCGACGUGGAGACGGAGCAGUGAAACCACCGCGGGGCGACGGAAGUCCCCGUUGAAGAGUGUAGGUGUUGAGGAUGGCAGGCAAAUCCACCGUCCGAGCUGAACUUGAUAGUAUGGAGUCUUCUUCGGAAGAAUCCAAUAGUGUGGGUAAUCAUACUCCCGAGAAAAUCCGCUAAGCUUAACCCAUGCGGCACCCGUACCGCAAACGGACACACGUGGUCGGGUAGAACAUACUAAGGCGUUGAGAGAUUCAUGGUUAAGGAACUAGGCAAAUUGACCCUGUAACUUCGGGAUAAAGGGUCCUCGUGAUGAGCGAGGCGCAGAGAAUAGGUCCAGGCAACUGUUUAACAAAAACACAGGGCUGUGCAAACUCGAAAGAUGACGUAUACAGCCUGACACCUGCCCGGUGCCGGAAGGUUAAGAGGAGAUGUCACUCGCAAGAGGAAGCAUUGAAUUGAAGCCCCGGUAAACGGCGGCCGUAACUAUAACGGUCCUAAGGUAGCGAAAUUCCUUGUCGGGU
rnacentral:rRNA from 1 species